rnacentral:rRNA from 1 species
CCCUAUGCUGCCGAGAAAAGCCUCUAGCGAGCUGGUACAUGGCCCGUACCCCAAACCGACACAGGUGGUCAGGUAGAGAAUACUAAGGCGAUCGAGAGAACUGUGGUUAAGGAACUCGGCAAAAUGCCCCCGUAACUUCGGGAGAAGGGGGACCAGUCCUGGUGACGACAUUUACUGUCUGAGCUGGGGUUGGUCGCAGAGACCAGAGAGAAGCGACUGUUUACUAAAAACACAGGUCCGUGCGAUGUCGUAAGACGAUGUAUACGGACUGACGCCUGCCCGGUGCUGGAAGGUUAAGAGGACCGGUCAGCCACUUCGGUGGCGAAGCUGAGAAUUUAAGCCCCAGUAAACGGCGGUGGUAACUAUAACCAUCCUAAGGUAGCGAAAUUCCUUGUCGGGUAAGUUCCGACCUGCACGAAUGACGUAACGACUUCUCUGCUGUCUCAACCACAGACCCGGCGAAAUUGCAGUACGAGUAAAGAUGCUCGUUACGCGCGGCAGGACGAAAAGACCCCGGGACCUUCACUAUAGCUUGGUAUUGGUGUUCGGUUCGGUUUGUGUAGGAUAGGUGGGAGACUGUGAAACUCGCACGCCAGUGUGGGUGGAGUCAUUGUUGAAAUACCACUCUGACCGUAUUGGACAUCUAACCUCGGACCAUGAUCUGGUUCAGGGACAGUGCCUGGUGGGUAGUUUAACUGGGGCGGUUGCCUCCUAAAAAGUAACGGAGGCGCCCAAAGGUUCCCUCAGCCUGGUUGGCAAUCAGGUGUUGAGUGUAAGUGCACAAGGGAGCUUGACUGUGAGACGUACAUGUCGAGCAGGGACGAAAGUCGGGACUAGUGAUCCGGCACCGGCAAGUGGAAGCGGUGUCGCUCAACGGAUAAAAGGUACCCCGGGGAUAACAGGCUGAUCUUCCCAAGAGUCCAUAUCGACGGGAUGGUUUGGCACCUCGAUGUCGGCUCGUCGCAUCCUGGGGCUGGAGUAGGUCCCAAGGGUUGGGCUGUUCGCCCAUUAAAGCGGCACGCGAGCUGGGUUUAGAACGUCGUGAGACAGUUCGGUCUCUAUCCGCCGCGCGCGUAAGAAACUUGAGGAAACCUGUCCCUAGUACGAGAGGACCGGGACGGACGAACCUCUGGUGUGCCAGUUGUUCCACCAGGAGCACCGCUGGUUAGCUACGUUCGGAAGGGAUAACCGCUGAAAGCAUCUAAGCGGGAAGCCUGUUCCAAGAUGAGGUUUCUCACCACCUGGCGUGGUUAAGGCCCCCCACAGACCAUGGGGUUGAUAGGCCAGAACUGUAAGCACAGCAAUGUGUUCAGGUGACUGGUACUAAUCGGCCGAGGACUUACAACU